UACGGAGGGUGCAAGCGUUAUCCGGAUUCACGGGGUUUAAAGGGUGCGUAGGUGGGCAGGAAAGUCAGUGGUGAAAUCUCCGGGCUUAACCCGGAAACUGCCGUUGAUACUAUUUGUCUUGAAUAUUGUGGAGGUAAGCGGAAUAUGUCAUGUAGCGGUGAAAUGCUUAGAUAUGACAUAGAACACCAAUUGCGAAGGCAGCUUACUACACAAUGAUUGACGCUGAGGCACGAAAGCGUGGGGAUCAAACAGG
rnacentral:rRNA from 1 species